rnacentral:rRNA from 1 species
CCUGUUUAACUAUAAGAGGUCCAGCCUGCCCAGUGACAUUGUUCAACGGCCGCGGUAUCCUAACCGUGCGAAGGUAGCGUAAUCACUUGUUCUUUAAAUGAGGACUAGUAUGAACGGCUUCACGAAAGCUAUACUGUCUCCUUUAUCCAAUCAGUUAAACUAAUCUCCCCGUGAAGAAGCGAGGAUAUAUAUAUAAGACGAGAAGACCCUAUGGAGCUUUAAACACUUAAACACUUGCACUAUAAACAUAGAACUUUCAGAAAACUAUCUCAAACUUACCAUUUUGUUUUAAGUUUUAGGUUGGGGUGACCACGGAGAAAAAUCUAACCUCCACGUAGAAAGAAACUCUUUUCUAAGCAAAAAACCACACCUUUACGCAUCAACAUAUUGACCUAAAUUGACCCAUUAUUUGAUCAACGAAC